UAGGGAAUCUUCCGCAAUGGACGCAAGUCUGACGGAGCAACGCCGCGUGAGUGAAGAAGGAUUUCGGUUCGUAAAACUCUGUUGUUAGAGAAGAACGGCGCAUAGAGUAACUGUUAUGCGUGUGACGGUAUCUAACCAGAAAGCCACGGCUAACUACGUGCCAGCAGCCGCGGUAAUACGUAGGUGGCAAGCGUUGUCCGGAUUUAUUGGGCGUAAAGCGAGCGCAGGCGGUCAAUUAAGUCUGAUGUGAAAGCCCCCGGCUCAACCGGGGAGGGUCAUUGGAAACUGGUUGACUUGAGUGCAGAAGAGGAGAGUGGAAUUCCAUGUGUAGCGGUGAAAUGCGUAGAUAUAUGGAGGAACACCAGUGGCGAAGGCGACUCUCUGGUCUGUAACUGACGCUGAGGCUCGAAAGCGUGGGUAGCAAACAGG
rnacentral:rRNA from 1 species